UACAGAGGUCCCAAGCGUUGUUCGGAUUCACUGGGCGUAAAGAGUGUGUAGGCGGUGCUCCCAGUCUGUUGUGAAAUCUCCCGGCUUAACUGGGAGGGUGCAGCGGAAACUAGAGUGCUAGAGGGUGGGAGAGGUAAGCGGAAUUCCUGGUGUAGCGGUGAAAUGCGUAGAUAUCAGGAGGAACACCUGUGGUGUAGACAGCUUACUGGACCACUUCUGACGCUGAGACACGAAAGCGUGGGUAGCAAACAGG
rnacentral:rRNA from 1 species